CCUAAAUGAGCUAGGGGGAGAUAACCAUCAGCGCCGUAAAUACACAAGACCCCCCACCCCCACAUCGUCUUCUUCUGGAGAGGACUUAGAGCAGCCAUGAACAAGGGACCUUAGGCCAGUCAUUUCUGAUUUCUCCACAGCAGCCAGCGACCGUUGCACCUAAACUCCACCCCCAAAACGACCCUUCACCCCUCUUCUCCCCACCAGCGGCGAACUUGUCAGACAGACCCUCCUGAAACCAGCGACCACCAAUAACACAUAAGCACACACGGACAAACACAGUGAAGAGAAGAACAAAAAAUUUGGAGAGGUCUUUGGGUCAAAAUCUGAAAAGAAACGAAAACCAAUGGAGUUCGACUGAGCCGAUUGGAGUUUCUCCCCGGGAUUGCUGUUGCAGCUUAAGUCGAAAUUCUGGUUCGAUUUUACUGAUUUCGCUCUAAUUUGUGUAGAUUUUCAGCUGUAAUUGUUUCCGGCUCCGUCCAGAUUCGCUGGCGAAAGCUCUGGUCAAGAAUCGUCGAGUUAUUUUUAACCUCUUGUAAUUACCAUUUUGGUUGAUUCAUACCAAAGGUGUGGGUCUACUUACCGGAGUUUGAGCAUGAUAGACACCCCAGGACCAUCCAGUCUGGAUCGCUCAUUUAGGAGUUGCU